UCCCCCGCCGCCGGCGGCACUGCGGGAACGGGAAGGCAGAGGCUGGCUGGCUGGUGUGCGCCCUGUGCUGUACGCUGCAGGCAGGCGACCGGAGGCGGAGGAAGCCGCUCCAGGAGCCCCCAGGCCGGCCCGCCUUGCUCGGAGGGACCCCAAACUUAUGAAUUCCUCCCCCUGCGCGGCCGCCGGCCUGUGGACUUUUGGCUCAGCCAACAGGCAAUGAACCAUCGUGAAGGACCAAGUUUUAUCCGACGGGAAGCAGAGAGCCUUUUUAUAUAGGUAGUAGAACUAUAUUAGAACGGUUCAGGAAGGUGCUUUAAUAAAGAGAACAGGGCUGAAGACUAUACUAGGACCAAAGGGAUAUCUUCCAUACAAGAAACAUUCACAGCUAUUAAAGGGACAUUAAACAUCUUUUGUCAAAUCCUGCACUCCUAUCAAGUGACAGCUGAGGCAAAGCGAGAGUGAUAGAUGCAUUCCGAAUGCUCAAGACAGACGAAAGUCACACCUGAUCGAAAAGGGGCUUCUAGAUCUCCACUGCCAUCUUGUGUUUAUGGUAUAUGAUGAGAGGGGGAAAAUAAGGCCGAGCUGCAACAAGAAGGUCACCCAGGGAACUGCGUGGUUGAAGGGGUAAAUUCAAACCCAGGCGUCUCAGAUCCUAGCCUGAUGUUCUAACCGCUCUACCGCACCAGCUCAUACUGUGGUUACCUAGCCCUCUAGCAGUGAUGAUUCUGUGAGGAAGGUUAAGUCUAGGUUUGAUCAGGAAAAGCUUUUCUAAAGCAAAUACGGAAGGCUUUGAAAGAAGAAGGAAACUAUACAAGCAGCAGCUAUAUGCCCUGACAAGUAAUAUUCUAUACUGAUUUUGCUGUACUGCUGCCCUGUUCCUAUUUGUAAUUUUAAUCUCAUUCUGUAUGGACUCAUUUCUGUAUUUAAAAUCUUAUAUUUUUAUAUAUGCCAAUAAAGGCUUGCUUGAGAUACAA